rnacentral:ncRNA from 1 species
AUAAAAAAUAGAGGUUGCAAAAAAGAAGAGACUUGUGGAGGGGUGCCGUUGAAACAAGUGGAGGCUGAUUUGCCGAAAUAAAGGAAAAGACAUUUUCUUUUAUUGGGGUUAUAGGAAAUACCUAUAAAACUGUCGCAAAAGCGGGAUGCUAUUUUUUCU